rnacentral:rRNA from 1 species
CCCCCUACUCCUACGGGAGGCAGCAGUAGGGAAUCUUCCACAAUGGGCGAAAGCUUGAUGGAGCAACGCCGCGUGAGUGAAGAAGGAUUUCGGUUCGUAAAACUCUGUUGUAAGGGAAGAACAAGUACCAGUAGUAACUGGCUGUACCUUGACGGUACCUUAUUAGAAAGCCACGGCUAACUACGUGCCAGCAGCCGCGGUAAUACGUAGGUGGCAAGCGUUGUCCGGAAUUAUUGGGCGUAAAGCGCGCGCAGGUGGUUUCUUAAGUCUGAUGUGAAAGCCCCACGGCUCAACCGUGGAGGGUCAUUGGAAACUGGGAGACUUGAGUGCAGAAGAGGAUAGUGGAAUUCCAAGUGUAGCGGUGAAAUGCGUAGAGAUUUGGAGGAACCACCAGUGGCGAAGGCGACUAUCUGGUCUGUAACUGACACUGAGGCGCGAAAGCGUGGGGAGCAAACAGGAUUAGAUACCCUGGUAGUCCACGCCGUAAACGAUGAGUGCUAAGUGUUAGGGGGUUUCCGCCCCUUAGUGCUGCAGCUAACGCAUUAAGCACUCCGCCUGGGGAGUACGGUCGCAAGACUGAAACUCAAAGGAAUUGACGGGGGCCCGCACAAGCGGUGGAGCAUGUGGUUUAAUUGGAAGCAACGCGAAGAACCUUACCAGGUCUUGACAUCCCGUUGACCACUGUAGAGAUAUGUUCCCCCUCGG